CCUACGGGAGGCAGCAGUGAGGAAUAUUGGUCAAUGGACGAGAGUCUGAACCAGCCAAGUAGCGUGAAGGAUGACUGCCCUAUGGGUUGUAAACUUCUUUUAUAUGGGAAUAAAAUGUUCCACGUGUGGGAUUUUGUAUGUACCAUAUGAAUAAGGAUCGGCUAACUCCGUGCCAGCAGCCGCGGUAAUACGGAGGAUCCGAGCGUUAUCCGGAUUUAUUGGGUUUAAAGGGAGCGUAGGUGGAUUGUUAAGUCAGUUGUGAAAGUUUGCGGCUCAACCGCAAAAUUGCAGUUGAAACUGGCAGUCUUGAGUACAGUAGAGGUGGGCGGAAUUCGUGGUGUAGCGGUGAAAUGCUUAGAUAUCACGAAGAACUCCGAUUGCGAAGGCAGUUCACUGGACUGCAACUGACACUGAGGCUCGAAAGUGUGGGUAUCAAACAGGAUUAGAUACCCCUGUAGUC
rnacentral:rRNA from 1 species